CAGCCAUGAGAUUUUGUAGUGAUAAUUUUUUUUGUGUGAUGGCAUUGGGGAGAACAAAGCCUCACACUGCAUCAUGCAGAUGGCCUGGCCUGCAUAUCCGGGGGCAACAAAAAAAGAAGACAAAUAAUGUCAACAAAUAGUGACCCACGAGAUCACAGGAGAGUGAACCGGAUCGGCCUUAUUUAAAACGUCAACACAUUGCUGAAGGCCGUACUAAGGGCCGAGGAAUGUUUACGUUUGUUGGCUUGAGCGAGCCGCUUCAAAGCGCCACGAUGAGCGGCUCCGUCUGUAAUCGGCUUCGCUGUGGAAAAAAAAGAGCCCAGAUCCUCUUCCCAGACGCCCAAGCGUCGGGCUGUUAUUGUUUAUGUUGGUUAUGUUGGAGAUGAAGCAUCGUGGUUUACAGGGAGGCGAAGCCCCGCCCUCUUCCGGUGGACCAACGAGGCCAACAUUUUGAUGCUCCCCUGUCUGGGUUGUGCCUGGAAAGACACGUCAUGAUGUUCGGCAAUUUAAUAGAAAAGUUUGCACCCGAGCAAAUUUGCAUUUUCCCCCGGAAAACUGUUGAUAAUACGAUGAUAAAACUGUGAAAGUAAAUUAUUAAAGCUAAGCAGUUAGCUAUCCUGA